rnacentral:rRNA from 1 species
AAUGGGCGAAAGCCUGACGGAGCAAGACCGCGUGAGGGAGGAAGGCUCUUGGGUUGUAAACCUCUUUUCUCAGGGAAGAAUAGAUGACGGUACCUGAGGAAUCAGCAUCGGCUAACUCCGUGCCAGCAGCCGCGGUAAUACGGAGGAUGCAAGCGUUAUCCGGAAUUAUUGGGCGUGAAGCGUCCGUAGGUGGUUAUACAAGUCAGCUGUUAAAGCGUGGGGCUUAACUCCAUAAAGGCGGUUGAAACUGUAGGACUAGAGUGUGGUGGGGGUAGCGGGAAUUCCCAGUGUAGCGGUGAAAUGCGUAGAUAUUGGGAAGAACACCGGCGGCGAAAGCGCGCUACUGGGCCACGACUGACACUGAGGGACGAAAGCCAGGGGAGCGA